rnacentral:rRNA from 1 species
AGACCGAUAGCGAACAAGUAGAGUGAUCGAAAGAUGAAAAGCACCUUGAAAAGAGGGUUAAAUAGUACGUGAAAUUGUUGAAAGGGAAGCGCUUGUGACCAGACUUGGGCGCGGCGGAUCAUCCGGGGUUCUCUCCGGUGCACUUCGCCGCGUUCAGGCCAGCAUCAGUUCGUCGCGGGGGACAAAGGCUUCGGGAACGUGGCUCCUCCGGGAGUGUUAUAGCCCGUUGCAUAAUACCCUGCGGUGGACUGAGGACCGCGCAUCUGCAAGGAUGCUGGCGUAAUGGUCACCAGCGACCCGUCUUGAAACACGGACCAAG